rnacentral:lncRNA from 1 species
AAACGAGCUAGCAUGAUCGGCUUUCCUCAUUUGUAGUUCAUUGACUCAUUUAUUGAGUAGAGUUUUGAGCUUCAGUCGUGUCAGCUAAACAUAACAAAUUAACAAGUGAAACCAAACCUUUUUGUUGAAUAGAAUUGAUGAUUUUUUUCUCAUAUUAACAAAUUAAUCCGUGAUAACUUACUAUGACAAUUAGAAAUGAUAAUCUUUUAUCAUUUUACCUAUAAGACUUUGUGAUGCUAAUAUAUAACUAAUGAUCUCCAGAGUAUCAGUUACGUUGUUCAUUAUAACCAAUAUGUCACAGCUCAACGGCAUCAUGAUAUUUUAUGCAAAUAUGAAUAUAACCAGUACAUUUAAAACAUAUAUACCACAGAUAUAAUGAAUACAUUUAUAUCCAAAAAUGAAGGGCAACACUUGAUUAAAUGAAUACAUUUAUAAUGAAUACAUUUAUGUGCCUCUUUUAGGGAUGGCAAUAAUCCCCAGCGGGUAGGGUACCCACGGGUAUUCGACCCUAACGGGGAAGAUAUACGGGUAUAAACGGGUAACGGGGAUGGGGAUCCUUAGUAUUCGGAUUCUUAAAUCGGGUACGGGGCGGGUAUGGUAUUUUGAUAUUCGUCCCCAUCCCCACCCAUUAAGGAUGAAAAUAUUAUUAUAUAUAAUUAUAUAAUUUAUUAUUAUAUAUAUUUAUAUAUAAUUUAUAAAUAAAUAUUUAUGUAAAAAAAUUUGUAAUUCUCUUAAUAAACAUUUAAUGGACCUUCC